rnacentral:rRNA from 1 species
GAAACAUUUGAAGUGACUUAGUGGCGGACGGGUGAGUAACGCGUGGGUAACCUGCCCUGUACUGGGGGACAACAGUUGGAAACGGCUGCUAAUACCGCAUAAGCGCACAGCAUCGCAUGGUGCAGUGUGAAAAACUCCGGUGGUACAGGAUGGACCCGCGUCUGAUUAGCUAGUUGGUGGGGUAACGGCCUACCAAGGCGACGAUCAGUAGCCGGCCUGAGAGGGUGAACGGCCACAUUGGGACUGAGACACGGCCCAGACUCCUACGGGAGGCAGCAGUGGGGAAUAUUGCACAAUGGGCGCAAGCCUGAUGCAGCGACGCCGCGUGAGUGAUGAAGUAUUUCGGUAUGUAAAGCUCUAUCAGCAGGGAAGAAAAUGACGGUACCUGACUAAGAAGCACCGGCUAAAUACGUGCCAGCAGCCGCGGUAAUACGUAUGGUGCAAGCGUUAUCCGGAUUUACUGGGUGUAAAGGGAGCGUAGGCGGCAUGGCAAGUCAGAUGUGAAAGCCCGGGGCCCAACCCCGGAACUGCAUUUGAAACUGUCAGGCUAGAGUACCGGAGAGGUAAGCGGAAUUCCUAGUGUAGCGGUGGAAUGCGUAGAUAUUAGGAGGAACACCAGUGGCGAA